UCUGGCCUUGGCCUCAAAGUGUUGUGU
rnacentral:piRNA from 1 species